UCCCAGGCACAUGCCUAUACAUGCAGUCGAACGAGCUUCCGUUGAAUGACGUGCUUGCACUGAUUUCAACAAUGAAGCGAGUGGCGAACUGGUGAGUAACACGUGGGAAAUCUGCCCAGAAGCAGGGGAUAACACUUGGAAACAGGUGCUAAUACCGUAUAACAACAAAAUCCGCAUGGAUUUUGUUUGAAAGGUGGCUUCGGCUAUCACUUCUGGAUGAUCCCGCGGCGUAUUAGUUAGUUGGUGAGGUAAAGGCCCACCAAGACGAUGAUACGUAGCCGACCUGAGAGGGUAAUCGGCCACAUUGGGACUGAGACACGGCCCAAACUCCUACGGGAGGCAGCAGUAGGGAAUCUUCCACAAUGGACGAAAGUCUGAUGGAGCAAUGCCGCGUGAGUGAAGAAGGGUUUCGGCUCGUAAAACUCUGUUGUUAAAGAAGAACACCUUUGAGAGUAACUGUUCAAGGGUUGACGGUAUUUAACCAGAAAGCCACGGCUAACUACGUGCCAGCAGCCGCGGUAAUACGUAGGUGGCAAGCGUUGUCCGGAUUUAUUGGGCGUAAAGCGAGCGCAGGCGGUUUUUUAAGUCUGAUGUGAAAGCCUUCGGCUUAACCGGAGAAGUGCAUCGGAAACUGGGAGACUUGAGUGCAGAAGAGGACAGUGGAACUCCAUGUGUAGCGGUGGAAUGCGUAGAUAUAUGGAAGAACACCAGUGGCGAAGGCGGCUGUCUAGUCUGUAACUGACGCUGAGGCUCGAAAGCAUGGGUAGCGAACAGGAUUAGAUACCCUGGUAGUCCAUGCCGUAAACGAUGAGUGCUAAGUGUUGGAGGGUUUCCGCCCUUCAGUGCUGCAGCUAACGCAUUAAGCACUCCGCCUGGGGAGUACGACCGCAAGGUUGAAACUCAAAGGAAUUGACGGGGGCCCGCACAAGCGGUGGAGCAUGUGGUUUAAUUCGAAGCUACGCGAAGAACCUUACCAGGUCUUGACAUCUUCUGCCAAUCUUAGAGAUAGACGUUCCCUUCGGGGACAGAUGACAGGUGUGCAUGAUGUCGUCAGCUCGUGUCGUGAGAUGUUGGGUAAGUCCCGCAACGAGCGCAACCCUUAUUAU
rnacentral:rRNA from 1 species